rfam:Geminocystis sp. NIES-3709 DNA, complete genome.
GCCAUCUUAGCUCAGUUGGUAGAGCAACUGAUUUGUAAUCAGUAGGUCAUCGGUUCGAGUCCGAUAGAUGGCU